rnacentral:rRNA from 1 species
UUCAGCGGCGGACGGGUGAGUAAUGCCUAGGAAUCUGCCUGGUAGUGGGGGACAACGUUUCGAAAGGAACGCUAAUACCGCAUACGUCCUACGGGAGAAAGCAGGGGACCUUCGGGCCUUGCGCUAUCAGAUGAGCCUAGGUCGGAUUAGCUAGUUGGUGAGGUAAUGGCUCACCAAGGCGACGAUCCGUAACUGGUCUGAGAGGAUGAUCAGUCACACUGGAACUGAGACACGGUCCAGACUCCUACGGGAGGCAGCAGUGGGGAAUAUUGGACAAUGGGCGAAAGCCUGAUCCAGCCAUGCCGCGUGUGUGAAGAAGGUCUUCGGAUUGUAAAGCACUUUAAGUUGGGAGGAAGGGCAGUAACUUAAUACGUUGCUGUUUUGACGUUACCGACAGAAUAAGCACCGGCUAACUCUGUGCCAGCAGCCGCGGUAAUACAGAGGGUGCAAGCGUUAAUCGGAAUUACUGGGCGUAAAGCGCGCGUAGGUGGUUCGUUAAGUUGGAUGUGAAAUCCCCGGGCUCAACCUGGGAACUGCAUUCAAAACUGUCGAGCUAGAGUAUGGUAGAGGGUGGUGGAAUUUCCUGUGUAGCGGUGAAAUGCGUAGAUAUAGGAAGGAACACCAGUGGCGAAGGCGACCACCUGGACUGAUACUGACACU